AUGCCUCCUUUGACGACUGCUCUCUUGGGAGACUAGUAAAGACAGUCCAAAGCCAAAUGGUAAAAUAAAAAAUAAUUUACUGGACGGAAAGCCUCAUCUUUGUUCUAUUUGCUAUAAAAGACAAAUAAAGAUGAUAAGAUUACAUAUAAUUAUGGAGGAAAAGACUUGCAUUGGCAUUCUCAGUGUGGGCAGGAUAUGUACAAGGUAGAAUAUUCCCAAAUGAUAUUCAAGUAUUAAUACUAAUAUCAUCCAGUUGUUUCAGUUUUUUUUCUGUCUUCCAGUUUGUCCAUGAGCCUGUCGCUGCAGCCAUAACAGGAAGUGAAGUCACUUCUGCUAAAGAGUUUGUCCAUGAGCCUGUCGCUGCAGCCAUAACAGGAAGUGAAGUCACUUCUGCUAAAGAGUUUGUCCAUGAGCCUGUCGCUGCAGCUAUAACAGGAAGUGAAGUCACUUCUGCUAAAGAGGUU